CAUUAUCGUACCGUGGGUGGUUACCAUGGCUGUCGCUGAUAACUAGUCGUGCACGCCAGAGUGCCCUCACAUACAAAUCAUCCAUCUCACCCCUUUGUGCAUCACCGCGUGGGUCCCCCCUUCCUCGGAGGAGGGGGGGUUCCUCACGUUUUUAACAUUAAACACCCAUUCAAAUGUACUGUAAAAUGUUCUUUGCGCGAUCACGCGUGAUCAAUACAACUUUCAACAACGGAUCUCUUGGCUCUCGCAUCGAUGAAAAACGCAGCGAAAUGCGAUACGUAAUGUGAAUUGCAAAAUUCAGUGAAUCAUCGAAUCUUUGAACGCACCUUGCGCCCCUUGGAAUUCCGAGGGGCACACCCGUUUGAGUGUCGUGAACAUCCUCAACCUCCUUGGUUUUUUUUUCUUGAACCAAGUAGGCUUGGAAUUUGGAGGUUUUCUGCUGGCCUCYUCCGAAGCCAGCUCCUCUUAAAUCUAUUAGUGGGAUCCGCUCUGCCAGAUCCUCGACGUUGAUAAGAUGCUUCUACGUCUUGGGUUUCGCUCGCGAAGGAUCUGCUUCUAACCGUCCCAUCGGGGACAAAUGUUCGAGCCGACCGCGCGCCCCCGUCAAGGGGUGGGUGGGAAAGCUUUUGACACAUGAAACCUUGACCUCAAAUCGGGUGAGACUACCCGCUGAACUUAAGCAUAUCAAUAAGCGGAGGAAAAGAAACUAACAAGGAUUCCCCUAGUAA
rnacentral:rRNA from 1 species